rnacentral:sRNA from 1 species
CUGCCCACCGGAAACGAUGGCGCGAGGCCGCAGAGCUAAACGGGGCCUCUCCAAGGAGUGCUGUGUUCACGGCUCCAUCGCUGUUAGGCAGCUGGGAUGAUGAAAGCAUCCCAAGACCUCCCUUUUCCAUCUGUGGCUGAUCACCUCUGGAACCCACAGCUAGCCGGCUGCUCCUCCACUAUCAGAUGGUGGCUGUCAGUCAUGGGCUUGUCGCCGAGUGCAUCCGUCAUGCUCUGGCCAUGGGCCGGCACCUGUGUGUGCGUGUCCAGCUUAACGACAGAGAUUUUUGGAAAGACGCCCUAAGAUAGACAUACUUGAAACUGAGUGAGAAUAAGUUUGACUUAUUUCUUUUUGAGAUACUUUAUAUGUUUGAAAUAAUUAAUAGCUGGCACCAGUGAAUCUAGUUUCUGUCUGUUUCCUUUAAAGAUUAUAUGUAGUGUUGG